rnacentral:rRNA from 1 species
CCUACGGGUGGCAGCAGUGAGGAAUAUUGGUCAAUGGACGCAAGUCUGAACCAGCCAUGCCGCGUGCAGGAAGACGGCUAUAUGAGUUGUAAACUGCUUUUGUACGAGGGUAAACGCAGAUACGCGUAUCUGUCUGAAAGUAUCGUACGAAUAAGGAUCGGCUAACUCCGUGCCAGCAGCCGCGGUAAUACGGAGGAUUCAAGCGUUAUCCGGAUUUAUUGGGUUUAAAGGGUGCGUAGGCGGUCGGAUAAGUUAGAGGUGAAAUCCCGAGGCUCAACUUCGGAAUUGCCUCUGAUACUGUUCGGCGAGAGAGUAGUUGCGGUAGGCGGAAUGUAUGGUGUAGCGGUGAAAUGCUUAGAGAUCAUACAGAACACCGAUUGCGAAGGCAGCUUACCAAGCUACUUCUGACGUUGAGGCACGAAAGCGUGGGGAGCAAACAGGAGUAGAUACCCGGGUAGUC